UAUAGUUUCCCCCUGAACGGUAUUUUGCCAUGAAAAUAAAGUAACUGAGAGAGCCCCUAUGGCAAGAAAUACUUGGAUUCACCCUGAUACACCCUUUUGCGAGGCCUCCCAUCCACCCCCACCUACGGUGACAUUGAGGUAAGCUACAUACAGUUGGAAACGGUGGUGUAGCUCAGGGACCCCUGGACCAGUCAGAGCGGGCCUCCGGCAACCACAAGUAAAGAUCAAAUAUGUCAUCCACCAAAGUUUUCUUGUGCCCCUUUGUAAUCACUCUCUCCUGCCUCCAUCCCCAGAUCUUAGAAGACCUGGUCAGCGACUAAAGGAGAUUGGUAGCAUGCAAGGUAUCCGGCAGACAGUCUGAAUCAGACUGAUGACUCAUGACCCCAGCGUCACAGAAGUUCCAAGAAGGACAUUAUUUGGACAUAUCAAAAACUCCUCCAAAUCAGGCACACCUUUCCUUACGGGCAUCUGAGAUCAUAUUAAAUUUAAUUUUAAUUAAUUAUUUUUUGAA